CAGCAUGUUUCCUAGGGCUGUGGCCAAUCAUGGCCAUGGGAUCUCCGAAGGCAUGUGGGAGCAGCCUGGAGAGACUUUGACAGCACAAGUCAGCAUACUUGUGACUGCCACUCACCUUGCCUAGAACA
ensembl:snoRNA small nucleolar RNA, H/ACA box 44